GACGAACGCUGGCGGCGUGCCUAAUACAUGCAAGUCGAACGGGAGCGACCGGUGCUUGCACUGGUCAAUCUAGUGGCGAACGGGUGAGUAACACGUGGGUAACCUGCUCAUCAGAGGGGGAUAACAUCCGGAAACGGAUGCUAAAACCGCAUAGGUCUUCGAGCCGCAUGGCUUGAAGAGGAAAAGAGGCGCAAGCUUCUGCUGAUGGAUGGACCCGCGGUGCAUUAGCUAGUUGGUGAGGUAACGGCUCACCAAGGCCGUGAUGCAUAGCCGACCUGAGAGGGUGAUCGGCCACAUUGGGACUGAGACACGGCCCAAACUCCUACGGGAGGCAGCAGUAGGGAAUCUUCCGCAAUGGACGCAAGUCUGACGGAGCAACGCCGCGUGAGUGAAGAAGGUUUUCGGAUCGUAAAACUCUGUUGUUAGAGAAGAACAAGUGCUAGAGUAACUGUUAGCGCCUUGACGGUAGCUAACCAGAAAGCCACGGCUAACUACGUG
rnacentral:rRNA from 1 species